rnacentral:lncRNA from 1 species
ACCCCAUGGCGUUCAAGCCGGAGAGGUUCUUGGGCAGCAGUGGAGGAGAAGAAGGGUUCGAUUUGAGGGGGAGCAGGGAGAUUAAGAUGAUGCCGUUUGGGGCAGGGAGGAGGAUCUGUCCAGGGUCGGGAUUGGCGGUGCUUCACCUGGAGUACUUUGUGGCGAAUUUGGUGUGGAAAUUUGAGUGGAGAACUGUGGAGGGAGAUGACGUGGACCUGUCAGAGAAGCAGGAGUUUACUAUAGUGAUGAAGAAUCCAUUGCAUGCCCACGUAAUCCCUAGAAUUUAAUACGUGUGAGAAUUCUGUACUAAUUAUUCGGUGCAUAUUCAACCGUUGAAUCUAUCCAUGUAUGCUUUUCAUUGAUUAUGUAAUUUUGAAAAUUUAGAUUUUUAGUUUACUAGUCUGAUUCAAGACGGAUUUUAUAACUUCAAUAUUUAGAGAGUGAUUUGAGUGAGCUGUAUUUGCUACUUUUUAGCUUAUAACUAAUACAACUUUCAAAUCUUGGGAAGACAACUUCUGCAUUUAGAGACUGCCCAAGAGCAAGGAGCAUUUGAGAAAUUGAUGGGAUUGCCUACAUAGGUACAACUCUCCUUUAAUCUUUGUGUUACAGCUUGUCUAAUGACUAAUUCGAAAUCCAAGUUACCGUGGUUUGAACAAAUUCGAUGGAGUAGUGUUUUUAUUUUUACCUUCGUAUAUAUGGAAAUGAAAGAAUAAACAACUCUUUGAAGACAACUUCUUUCCGACAAAGGUGUUCAAUUACCAUUUCCGUUCAUUGCUUAAUUUGUUAGACUAUGCUUCGUCCCUAAAAUUCGUCAUCUGAAGUAAUCUCAAGUUUUCAACAUCAUGUUUUGAGCCCCAGAGAUAAGGUUAAGCUCUAUGGAACUACUAUAUUUACAGCGAUCUCGAUCUGAUAUGCUAAGGGUGCGUUUGUUGCGCCGGACUGUCUCGGAUUGGACUAGCUGCCGGGACUAAGCUGGACUGGCUUAGACUGGACUAAGCUGGACUAACUUAGUGAAGCGUUUGGUGUAAUGUCGGACUAAGAAGCAGGAUAAGAAAAACAGUACUGUUCACCAGAUUUGUGUUUGCUUAGACUAGGAUUACAAAUUUUUGCCAUUGUGUAAUAGAGUAAUGCUACAAAUCUCAUGAUAUGGGUUAAUUGGAGCAUAUUUUUGCCAUGUAUAUUAUGAAUCUUAAAAAAAAAUUGACAAUUGUUUUGUUUCUAUUACCUGCUAAUAGAAUUGGGUUUAAUUUGCAAAUGUAGCUUGGUUUAAACUCUAUCACCCAACAGAAGAAAAAUAAUAGUGCCCAAUACAUGCAACUUCAACAAAUACAAGUACAUAAGAAGAUCUCCAUAAUUUAGAAAAUCCUAGUUAACAUUAGCCAAAAUAGAUCUCCAUAAUUUACAAAAUGGCUAGUUAACAUAAGCCAAAAUACUAGUGCAAAGCUAAGUUAUAAGCCAUAACAUAAGAUUGUAUGAUUAAUAAAAUACAUCCAUGUUAACAUUAAUAAAAUACAUCCAUGUUAACAUUAGCCAAAAUCCUCAUCCGCUUGCGUUGUCGCUUAAAAGCCUUUGGACGAACACUUUCUUGAGUUCCGGUUUGAUUGCCCUGAACACUCCCACAUUUUUUGGUUUAUCCAAAAUAAGAGACAAUGCAUCAAUUUGAUCCAUAGGAGAGAGACCCAUUGCUUCAAGUUCAUUAGCUAUGUCAGUAUGAUCUGCAGUACCUUGAACUAAAGCUUCAGUUACCAUUUGCAUCCUCUUCCCACUUUCAACAUAAAAAUCUUUCAGUCCACUGAUAAUUGCCUCGGUUCCAUCACUUGAACUUCCCACAGCUCUUUUCCUCUUUCUUUGGCUAUUUUCAGAUGGGGUGCUUUGUUGGCUUUUGUUGGUUCAUUGAAGAAACAAAAUUUUCACCUCCAAUAUCACUUUCACCAACAUGAUCAUAACUUUGUUCCUCCACCAUUUGAGCAGGGGUUUCGGCUACAUUACCCGUAGCCCGAUCUUUUCCAAAUAUAUAUGCAAAUCUAUCAAACAGUGGAAAAGGUUUGCUUCUCCAUCCAUCGGCUUCUUUAUUUCUCUAAGAUUAUAUCAACAUAGCAAAACUAAAAUUUAGCAUGCGUAACAAAUAUAGCAGCAAUAAUAUAACUAAUGUAUAAAUAAAAUAGGAUAUGAACCUGCACAUAAGUUUGCCAUGAGUCAUCACUGUCAACUUCAACGCACUUUUUGACAUCAUUCCAUGCAAAUCCACUUGUGUUUAUCAUGUCAACGACCAUACUAUAUGUUUUUUUUUCCAUUUCUUCAACUUGGACUCAAUAUGUAGAUUUGCCUUUAUAUUUGAAUGAGGACAUAAAACAUUGACAGCUUUUGCUAUUUCAACCAAAGUACCUUGUUUGAAAGCACCGGUGUCACACCGUUGCUUCCGAGCAACAAAAUCCUCAAGAACUCCUAGUAAUACUUCUUCCUCAAAUGCUUCCCAUUUACGCCUUCUUCCUUUUGGCUCUUGAGUAGCAUUCAAAAUAUUUUCGUUAUCCAUACCUAAACAAAAAAUAUUUUAAUGAAGGAAAAUACCAUACAAAUAAUCAAUCUGCAUAAUAUCCAAUCAACUUACAUAAUAUCCAAUCAACUUGCAUAAUAUCCAAUUAAUUUGCAUACCAUCCAAUCAUUGUGCUAAUAUCUAACAAAUGCAUGAUAAAAAGGAAUACUAAAAUAAAAUGUUAUCAUUAACACAUAUAGCUAGUUCGGUUGCUGGUUCCUAAUUGCUCUCCACUCGUUAUACAUUUCCUGAGCCAUAUCAUUCCUCUUUGCAGUCCACUGGUCAGAUGUUUGAACACUACCAACAUAUUCACCUUCUUCUGUAUUUUGUCCAUCUUCUAUUAUUGGCAAAUUCUCCAUUGGAUCUACAGACAUCUCUUGCCUAAUAAGAUUGUGUAGUAGGCAACAAGCGGUAAUUAUUCGACCUUGUGUCCUUAUCGGAUAGAAAGAUGGACUCCUUAGUAUCGACCACCUUCCUUUUAGCAAGCCAAAACAGCGUUCAAUUACAUUCCUUGCCUUAGAAUGAUUCAUGUUAAAAUAUUCUUCCUUAUUAGAAGGUGUUCGUCCCUCCCAUUCAGAUAAAUGAUAAGGUAUUCCUCUAUAGGGUGCAAGGAAUCCUUCACCAUUUGUAUAACCACCAUCUACAAGGUAAUAAUAACCUAAUGAAAAAAAAAACAGACCUUAUUAGUGUUUUGUAGUUGACAAACAGAACUAGACCUAACUUACAAAGUUGAGACUAAGUAAUAGUCUUACCCGCUGGUACCUUAAAACCAUUAGGCAUAGUAAUUGCAUCAUGUAGCACUCUAGAGUCUGAUGCGGAACCCUCCCACCCCAGAAACACAUAUAUGAACUGCAUAUCUCCUGAACACACACCUAACACAUUAGUUGCGACUCGACCCUUUCUUGUUCGGUAUCUUGGUUUGUCAAUUUCAGGUACAUGCACAUCAAUGUGUGUUCCAUCCAAUGCUCCCAAACAAUUCUUAAAAAAAAAAAAAAAAAAAAAAAGUUUUUGUUAAUUUAUACAAAGGGAAUGAAGAGUUAAAGCUUAGGGAAAAUGAAAAAAAAUUCUCAUCAUACCUUAAAACAUCGCCACCUAGGAUCUGUAGAAUCAAUAGGCACAGGCUGUGGGACUUUCAGUAGGAUACCUUGUAAUCGCAAAAUUCCUUGCAAUACGCUAUUAAAAUACCUACUUAUAGUCUCUCCCGACCUAUAAAAUCUACCGCCAACACUACGAUUCUUAGUAUGAUGUGCUAAUAUUUGUAAAGUCAUACACACCUGCUCCUCUACAGACACCAAACCAUCAGUUUUUACCCUCACAUCUUGACGAAGUAAGUCACAUAAUAUGUCAAAAGUCCUUCUAUCCAUUCUCAAUUCGUUGACACAUUCAGUAUCAGUAUUCCCUAUUAUACCAUUCAGAUAACACAAACUAAUCUCUCGUCUAAUAAGUGAACGGUUAGUCAAUGUGGGUCGUUCAACAUGUCUCUGUUUGCCACGUAGCAUCAUCAACACAAGAAUCGUACAAAUGCAAAUUGUCUCCAAAUAAGACAUCUCUAACAAUAAGAUCAAUAAAAGCUUCCUUCGAUCCAUAUCUAUCCAAACAAAAAAAAAAACAAAAAACAAAUUAAGGACAUUAUAUAUGUAAUAUUUACUGUUAUUAAGGGUGAUGGAAAUGAAGUGAUUAUGAUACGAAAUGAACUAGAUCAAAGUAACUAGCGAAGUCACAAUCCGAGGCAUCAAAUAUACGGGUGGUGUUGGAAAAAAAAAGCUAUCAUUAACCCGAGGCAACAAAUAUACAGGUGGCGUUGAAAAAAAAAAUUAUCAUUAACCCGAGGCAACAAAUAUACAGGUGGCGUUGAAAAAAAAAAAGUUAUCAUUAACCCGAAGCAUCAUAUUCAAAAUGUUCUACUCUUAUACAUCUAUAAACAUGUGUCUAAGAACACUAGUAUGAGGAUUGCUAUCAUUGCUAGGCAUUGCAUAUGAAGAGGGAAAUUAAAGGACACCUGUAAUGCAGUAGCCUUAGCCUUAGCCUUCUGUUUAUGCUCCUCUUCUCUGCAACCAACAACCACAAAAAAUUGCAAUUCAGCAUCAACCCCACACAAUACAAAACAUUCACAUUGUAAUAUCAUGGUUAUAAACCAAGUACACACACACACACUCAUGGACAAAUGUGCAAAAUACACAUACAUACUCACACUCACACUCACACUAACACACACACACGAACAUACACACUCUCACACACGGACAUACACUCACACACACUCAUGGACAAAUGUGCAAAAUACACAUACAUACUCACACUCACACUCACACUAACACACACACAUGGACAUACACACUCUCACACACGGACAUACACUCACACACACCCUGCAUACAUACAUACACACACACACACACACACUGCAUACAUACAUACACACACACACACACACUGCAUAUAUACAUACACACACACACACAUACUCACACUGCAUACACACACACACACACACUGCAUACAUAGACACACACACACACUGCAUACAUACACACACACACACACACACACACACACACACACUGCAUACAUACACACACACACACACGGCAUACAUACACACACACACACACACACUGCAUACAUACACACACACACACACACUGCAUACAUACACACACACACACACUGCAUACACACACACACUGCAUACACACACACAAACAUACUCACACGGACAUACACACUCUUACACACGGACAUACACUCACACACACCCUGCAUACAUACAUACAUACACACACACACACACUGCAUACAUACAUACACACACACACACUGCAUACAUAGACACACACACACACACUGCAUACAUAGACACACACACACACUGUAUACACACACACACACACACUGCAUACAUACACACACACACACACACACUGCAUACAUACACACACACACACACACGGCAUACAUACACACACACACACACACACUGCAUACAUACACACACACACACACACGGCAUACAUACACACACACACACACACACACACUGCAUACAUACACACACACACACACUGCAUACAUACACACACACACACACACUGCAUACAUACACACACACACACUGCAUACAUACACACACACACACACACUGCAUACAUACACACACACACACACACUGCAUACAUACAUACACACACACACACACACACGGCAUACAUACACACACACACACACUGGUCAGCUGCACACACUGCACUCACACAGACAUACACACUCUCACACACGGACAUACACUCACACACACACUGCAUACAUACACACACACACACACACUGCAUACAUACACACACACACACACACUGCAUACAUACACACACACACACACACUGCAUACACACACACACACACACACACACACUGCAUACAUAGACACACACACACACUGCAUACAUACACACACACACACAUUGCAUACAUACAUACACACACACGGCAUACAUACACACACACACACUGCAUACACACACACACACAUACACUGCAUACAUAGACACACACAUACACUGCAUACAUACACACACACACACACUGCAUACAUACACACACACACACACACACUGCAUACAUUCACACACACACACACACACGGCAUACAUACACACACACACACACUGCAUACAUACACACACACACACACACUGCAUACAUACACACACACACACACACACACACACACACACACACACACACACACACUGCAUACAUACACACACACACAUUGCAUACAUACACACACACACACACUGCAUACAUACACACACACACACACUGCAUACACACACACACUGCAUACACACUCACACACAUACACACUCUCACACACGGACAUACACUCUCACACACUGACAUACACUCACACCCUGCAUACAUACACACACACACUGCAUACACACACACACACUGCAUACACACACACACACACACUGCAUACACACUCACACACAUACUCACACGGACAUACACACUCUCACACACGGACAUACACUCACACACACCCUGCAUACAUACAUACAUACACACACACACACACUGCAUACAUACAUACAUACACACACACACACUGCAUACAUACACACACACACACACACACAGAUUACACACACACACACAGAGUAUACACAAACAGAGAUUACACGCACACAUAGAGUAUACACACACACACAGACAAACCAGAGUACACACACACAUAGUAUACACACACAUGCACACACACACAGACACACACAGAGAUUACACACACAGAUUCUAAUCUCAAUUUGACCUAAAAAUUGAUUUUGAAGUUUACCAGAAAAGUUGAAAUACGAAAACCCCAAAUUCUAAUCUGAAUUUGAACUAAAAAUAUGAAAACCCCAAAUUCUAAUCUCAAUUCGACGAAAUCAAUCGAAGAUUUGAAGCUUACCAGACUGUCUCCGACCAGAUGAGGGCGAGAAUACGCAGAGAUGAGGGUGAGGAUGACGACGACGAGGAAGCAGGGCAAGGUCGACGACGAGCGACGAGCAGGACGAAGGACGUUGGGGAUCCUCGCAGAGAUGAGGACGAGCAGGACGUUGGGGAUCCUCGCGGUUUUCUCUCCGAGCUUACGAGUCCGCCCAAAAUUGGGGUUCUUCGUUAAGAACUCGUAAUGAGGCGUGUAAUCCGAGCGAGUCCCACCUAAGCCCAUUAAAGCUAAUCCGGUUGCACACCAAACACAGGACUAUAGUCUAGUCCAGUCCAAGCCUUGCUAAUCCUGUCAAACAAACGUGCCCUAAUAGUAUUAGCACCCAAGUUUUUGGUACAACAGUUGCAUUUUUGCAGAUCGAAAAUAUGACUAGCGUAUUUAUAUUUUUUAUCUUUUUUGUAGGGUGGUGGUUUUGGCACCCAACAAAUUGUGAUCGAAUGCCCCUUAUGCGAGGAUUAUUACAAGAUUCGGGAGCAUCUCCACUCACAAUUUUAUUUGCUUUAAGUAGAGAUACAUAAUAUCAAACGCCUUCGGAUGAACUGUCAUUUAGUCGCGAUGUUAAUUUAUAGUGAUUUCACAACACUAAAAGGUACCUCCUCGAUCACAAUAUACUCAACAAUACCUUCCACACUUUCUUCUAGGCUCCACCCUUUAGCAACAAGCUUGUUUUUGACAUCCUCAAAAGGUCCAGAACUGCCUAGAACCUUUGGCAACUCAUCAGUUGGUUUAUAUGACUUGCAAUGUUUAUUGAUAUGUUUAAUGUAAGCACUAGUUCCACCCCCCACUAGUAACACAUGAAAAAAGGGCAUUACAAUGGUUACACUUAGCCUUCCAUACUUGUACCUCCACCAUCUCUUUCUUUCCAUCUUUUUCUACUUCAUGUAUUUUCGAGACGGUACACUUAGUGACAUGAUCCCAAACCCAAGAUCUCUCAGAAGAAGAUCUCUCUAGUGAAGCUAUUAUAGUUUGUUGUCUUGUCUUUGGAAUAAGUGGUGCUUUUCUUUUUUUUUGGAGGAUGAGGGGUUUUGGGGAGGUAUUGAUGAUUUUGCCUGUGUGGGUUGUGCUUGUGUUGGUUGUGGAGGACAUGGUGAUGUAGCCAUAGAUGAUGCUACAUUAGUACUAGGGGUACUUUAACUUUGAGAUCGAGACAAUAUGUAAAAAUUUGUAAAAAUUAAAUAAUGGAAGUAUAUUCAUUAAUCAAAUAAAGAUAUUUUGAAAUAUGCACACCAAUUUCAUGAAAUUACCACAAAAUACUAAUCAUCUUAAGAAACCAUUAAAACUUUAGAGUUCAGAUCACGAAUAAAACCAACUACUAAAUCCAUCCCCAUUAAGAGAAAGAAACUAAAUAAAACCAAAUGAAAACAAGAGAAAGACGUGCUAAAUGAAAACAAAGAGAAACCAAAUGUAAGACGUGCUAAAUAAAUCCAUCCCCAUUAAUACUCGAUAUGAAACCAAAUGAAAAUAGGAGAAAGAAACUAUAUGCUAAAAAGAGGGAUAGAGCAAUUUUGAAUCAUGCUAAAUUUGACUUACAUUAGCAAUAUUCAAAGAAAAACUAGUUAAAAGAAAAACGUGCGGAUCUAUUAACUAUUAAGUACUUACAUUUAUUGGGUUCCAAAGAAGAAGACUAGUACUUUCUUCCAAUCAACAGAGUAGCCCCACUUCUCUGGUACACUUACCUGCAGAAUGAUUAGGAAUAAUUAGGAAUAAAGAGAUAAUCAAACUAUAAGUUUACACACAUUCUUGUAUACUACAGAAACCAAAACCAUGCUAAAUUUGUCUGAGAAGACAAAAACCAAAUCAGAGGCUGUUAUGCUUCUAAAAGAACAUAUGAGCAGUCACCUUAUGCAAAACAACAUCAAAGGGUCCUUGAUCUGAAAGUGGCUUGUUUACAUCAAUUGCAAUGAAGAAGAUCCCCUUAUUCCUGCAAUGAAGAAGAUCCCCUUACAACAAUCUGCAUUAACAAACCGGUUUAAUGUGCUAAACCUAAGGACAACAAGAGUAGAGCCCCAAAUUACUGAGAAAUUGCAAGGAAACAAGGUCGACAACAGAGGCAACAAAGCAGUAAACCUACAAGACUAAAAGGAAACAAACAGCCUAGCCUGCAAAGAUUCAGAGAAGUCUGGGCGCAGAGCCAGGAAUAAUUAGCACUUUAACCCUGCAAAUUAUGAUUGACGAGUGACAACCCAUCUUUGUUUACUUUUACUUUUGUUUGUUGGAGUAGCUAGCACUUUAACAUUCAACAGAAACUAGUAUGUAAAACUUUAAUGUGCUGUUCGUCUGCUACACAUUAAGUUAAUUUAUCUAUGCGUGGGUGUGUGAGUGUCACCCUUCAAAUUCAUGCAGUAUGAGGGGGAAUUCCCAUGGCCCUAGUGCCACUGCGGCUAGGCCUUGUCCUCCACCUCCAAUAUAUAUUGAAUUAAUUGCACUUUCAUCCUAGUACCCAUACACCACUCCAUACAAAAUAAAAAUAAAGACUUGUCACAAUAUCACUAAUGCCGGCUUGGUUCUUAACGUUAUGUUGUAUUUUUAAAUCCAUUUGUAAUUAUAUCGGUCCGUGAAACAAUAAUAUAAAUUGAUCAAAUUAAAAUACAAACCAUUGCCAAUAUAUUAUGAAUUAAUUGCGCUUUCAUCAUCCAACAACUCAUACAUUAUUCCAUGAAUAAAAUAAAUAUAUUAAUAAAGAGGAGAAGAUGGAAUAAUAAUAAACAACACAACGAACACGUAUGAUUAAAAGUUGUACUUUUUAAACACAUUUGUAAUUUCAUCGGUAGUAUAUAGAAAGAGGGGAAACUUAGUGAACUUAAAACAGGUUUGAAUACUAAGUGAACUAAAGCAGAACAAAUCCCUAAAAAUUGCUUAAGUUCAAAUGAGUUUUCUAUCCGAAAAUAAAAUCUAAUUUCCAAAACAUAUCAAUAUAAGAACAUCUAAAAUUGAAUUGUAUCAUCUUCAACCAAAUCUACAUCGGCCGUUUGUGAAACCAAAUGCAUACAAUCACCGAAUUACGAACUUUUUGAGAUGCAAUCGAAACACAAAUUGACAACUGUGAAUGAUAAGAACUAAGAAGAACUAGACUACAUUGAAUCAAAGACGACAACUGAGAGUGGAAACGUUUCGCUCAGACUUAGAUCUGAAAUAUGCAAAGCAAAGAAAAACCCAAACCUUGUUAUUAGUGAUUCAAUAUUAGAGUGGAAAAAAAUUGGUAGAUGCGAAGGGAAGAACCCUAAAUGGUGGCAAUAGAUCAAUCAUCAAUCUACAAAUGCAAUUCAAAUAAAAAUGACACUGAAUUACAUGGAUUAAACAAGAAUUACAAUCUUAUAAAUAUAAAUGACAAUGAAUGUGCCAUGAAAAGUGAAGCUCCACAACUGGUAAUAACGCAUGGAAAAUCAAAAUAAGCAUGUUCGACAUAGAUGCAACUGAAAAUCUAAAACCUGAAUCACUUCCAUAGAACCUAAGACCAUGCUUGCAUGCAUCAAUCAAAUCCAAAUGACACGUGGGAAGAUAGUCGACAUUGCCUCGCAUCUACUAGAACCAAAACACAACUUCCCUUCUCCCCUUUGUUCACGAGUGCUCAUACGGUUUCUAUUCUAUUUUGCACAGGUAAUAACCCAAAAUUUGUUAUCAAUGGUUCAAUAUUACAGUGGAAAAAAAUUGGUUGAUGCAAAGAGAAGAACCUUAAAUUGUGGCAACAGAUCAAUCAUCAAUCUACAAAUGCAAUUCAAAUUUUAAGAAAACCCUAAAUGGUGGCAAUAUGAUUCAAUCAUCAAUCUACAAAUUCUAACUUAAAAAGGUCGUACCCAGUGCACAAGGCUCCCGCUUUACGCAGGGUCUGGGAGAGGUGAAUGUCGGCUAGCCUUACCCCCAUUUUAUGGAGAGGCUGCUCCCAAGUCUCGAACCCGAGACCUACCGCUCAUGGGCGAAGGCACUUGCCAUCGCACCAAGUGCGACCUCUUCUACAAAUUCUAACUUAAAACCCCUAAAAUCCCUACACCAGAUAUUCACAAUUUCGCAUUAAUAAUAAAUCCUAAUUCAAAAUUACCUACAUUUUAGAGGGAUGAUGGUUGGUAGUGGUAUUGGACCACUGGUGGUAGCGGUAUUGAACCACUGGUGGUAGCAGUGUUCCUCGACGGUGGUGAUGGGAUGAUGAUGGUCGCGAUGGCGGAGGUGGUGCCGUUGUGUUGGUAGCGACGAAGCUGUGAAAGUCUGAAAGUUGGAGCUCAAUGGUGGUGAUGGGGUGAUGGUGGUCGCGACGGUGGAGGUGGUGCUGUUGUGUUAGUCCCAACGUCGUUAAGCACUGUGAGUUAGAGUCUGAGAGUUGGAGUUAAGGGAAAGGACAAGGAGGGAGUCGAGUCGAGGGAGGGAGAGAUUCUGAAAGACUGAGGGUUGUUUUGGAACUCGGGAGGUGGAAUUGGCUAGAGUAGCCCCACUUCUCUGGUUCAUUUACCUACAGAAUGAUUAGGAAUAAUUAGGAACAAUGAGAGAAACAAACUAUAAGUUUACACACAUUCCCGUAUACUACAAAAACCAAAACCAUGCUAAAUUUGUCUUAGAAGACAAAAACCAAAUCAAAGGCUUUUAUGCUUCUAAAAGAACAUAUGAGCACCCACCUUAUGCAAAACAACAUCAAAGGGUCCUUGACCUAAAAGUGGCUUGUCUACAUCAAUUGCAAUGAAAAAGAUCCCCUUAUUCCUGCAAUGAAGAAGAUCCCCUUACAACAAUCUGUAUUAGCAAACCUGUUUAAUGUGCUAAACCUAAAGACAACAAGAGCAGAGCCCCCAAUUACUGAGAAAUUGCAAGGAAACAAGGUCGACAGUAGAGGCAACAAAGCAGUAAGCCUACAAGACUAAAAGGAAACAAAUAGCCUAGCCUGCAAAGAUUUAAAGAAGUCUGGGCGCAGAGUUAGGAAUAAUUAGCACUUUAACCCUACGGAUUAUGAUUGACAAGUGACGACCCAUCUUUGUUUACUUUUACUUUUUUUUGUUGGAUUAGCUAGCACUUUAACAUUCAACAGAAACUAGUAUGUAAAAUUUUAAUGUGCUGCUUAUCUGCUACACAUUAAGUUAAUUAAUCUAUGCGUGGGUGUGUGAGUGUCACCCUUCAAAUUCAUGCAGUAUAAGGGGGGAAUUCCCAUGGCACUAGUGCCACCGUAGCUAGGCCUUGUCCUCCCCCUCCAAUAUAUAUUGAAUUAAUUGCACCUUCAUCCAAGUACCCAUACACCACUCCAUACAAAAUAAAAACAAAGACUUGUCACAAAUAUCACCAAUGCCGGCUUGGUUCUUAACGUUAUGUUGUAUUUUUAAAUCCAAUUGUAAUUAUAUCGGUCCGUGAAACAAUAAUAUAAAUUGAUCAAAUUAAAAUACAGACCAUUGUCAAUGUAUUAUGAAUUAAUUGCGCUUUCAUCAUCCAACAACUCAUACAUUAUUCAAUGAAUAAAAUAAAUAUAUUAAUAAAGAGGAGAAUAUGGAAUAAUAAUAAACAACACAACGAACACGUAUGAUUGAAGGUUGUACUUUUUAAACAUAUUUGCAAUUUCAUCGAUAGUAUAUAGAAAGAGGGGAAACUUAGUGAACUUAAUUUUGGGCCGUCAAAUCUGUUUUUACUAAUAUAUUUGAUCUCAUUUGAUCGUAGCCGUUAGAUUAUAAGUAAAAAAACAAAAAAAAAGUUUGAAAUAUGAUAAUUUAGUGGGUUCAGAAUAAUUUAAGCCAAGCUUAAAUCCUGGGAGGAAUCUAGCUGAGAAAUAUAUUUUCUCUCCCAGGCUUAUUUUAGCCCAUGAUUGGAGAUGGUUUGGGAGUGUUUUAAAACAUAUAUUUUAAGUUUUAUUUCAUGAGUUGGUGAUGGUCUAAGGGGAGAGACAUAAUAUCUAGGAUUUGGAUUCUCUCAUGAGCUAAUGGAGAGGAUCCUCCUGACCAACAUAUGUGGACCGUUGGAUGAAAAUUCAACGGCUACAAACAGAAUGUUCUUUUAAAGUUAUAAUAAUUAUAGCCGUUGAAUUUUCAUCUAACGGUCCAUAUACGUUGCUUAGGAGGAUCCUCUCCUUAAGCUCAGGAGAGGAUCCAAAUCCUAAUAUCUAACGCUUUCGGAUAAACCGACAUUUAAUCACGAUAUUAACUUCUAGUGAUUCGAGGAAACAUACUAAAGCUUAAUUUCAGUGCCGGCCUUAUUUUUGGACCCAGCUUCUCUGCCCUUCCAGUUCUCAUACACUCCCAUCCCCUCCUAUUUUGUUUCGUGCGGUCACGAUUAAUCCACGUCAAUAUUUUAUAUUGAUCUUUUUAUAGAGAUAAUAAGACAAAAAGUAAUAGUGAUAUAAAAUGUUAACAUAGUUUAACUGUUAUCGCAAAAAUAAGAGGAGAUAAGAGUGUAUGAAAACUAGGAAUGCAGAGAAGCCAGGUCCCUUAUAUUUUGUCGAACUUGUCAUGGUCAGACAUUUUAAGUGAAAGUGACAAUAUGUGCAGCUGAGUCAAUGCGGUCGAAACCUGGUUCCUUAUCAAUCUCCUUACAAAGUAUCGAAACUAAUAAUUAUUGAGCAAACGCAAUUGCCCUUUUGUCUGAUUGCCGACGGUUGACCAUGGAAACCUGGUUCCUGAUCCUCAUCGCCUUCUGCGUCUCCUUCCUCCUCAAACCCCUUCUUUCCCUAUUCCUACCCACUUCCAUCUCCAAACCCAAGCUCCCUCCUGGGCCCCGCGUCUUCCCCGUCAUCGGCGGCUUCUUAUUCCUCCUCAAAUCCUUCUCGGAGCUCGAGCCUAUCAUCCGCAAACUCAAGGCCAAACACGGGCCCAUUAUCUCCCUCCGCAUCGGCUCCCGCCCGGCCGUCUUCAUCGCCGACCGCUCCCUCGCCCACCAGGCCUUAAUCCAGAACGGCGCCGUGUUCGCCGACCGCCCCCGGGCCUCGGCCACCAACAAGUACUCCAGCAGCAACCAGCACAACAUCAGCUCCGCCAUCUACGGCCCCACUUGGCGCCUCCUCCGCCGCAACCUCACCUCCGAAAUCCUUCACCCUUCCCGGGUCAAAUCCUACGGCAACGCCCGCAAAUGGGUUCUCGACAUCCUCGUCAACCGCCUCAAAACCAAGUCUCAAUCCCACUCCGAAGGCGCCAGCGCCGGCGUCAGGGUGGUCGACCACUUCCAAUACGCCAUGUUCUGCCUCCUGGUUCUGAUGUGCUUCGGUGACAAAUUGAACGAAGAGCAAAUCAAAGAAAUCGAGCGGGUGCAGCGCCAAUUUCUUUUGAGUUCCGGGCGGUUCAAUAUCCUCAAUUUCACCCCUAAAUUGACGAAGAUUAUCUUCAAAAAUCGGUGGCGGCAAUUCUUCAAAAUCCUCGAGGAACGACGAGAAGUGCUCGUCCCUCUGAUUCGAGCAAGACAAAACAAGGCAAAGCAGGGCAGCAAAAACGACGACAAUGACGAUGAAUUUGUGUUGUCGUAUACUGAUACGCUGCUGGACCUCGAGCUUCCCGACGGAAACAAAAAGCGGAAGCUUUCGGAGGGAGAAAUGGUCAGCCUCUGCUCAGAGUUUCUGAACGGCGGCACCGACACGACUUCCACCGCGCUGCAGUGGAUCAUGGCCAACGUAGUGAAGUACCCGCAAGUUCAGGAGAAGCUGUUUGCGGAGAUUAAAGGGGUUAUGGGAGAAACGGAGGACGAGCUGCGGGAGGAGGUCCUGCACAAGCUGCCGUAUCUGAAAGCCGUGAUCUUGGAGGGGCUGAGGCGCCACCCGCCGGGCCACUUUGUGCUGCCGCACGCGGUGACGCAUGACGUGGUUUUGGGCGGACACGUGGUGCCCAAGAACGGGAGUGUUAAUUUCAUGGUGGCGGAUAUAGGCUGGGACCCUCAAGUGUGGGAAGAUCCCAUGGCGUUCAAGCCGGAGAGGUUCUUGAGCAGCGGCGGAGGAGAAGAAGGGUUCGAUUUGACGGGGAGCAGGGAGAUUAAGAUGAUGCCGUUUGGGGCAGGGAGGAGAAUCUGUCCUGCGUCGGGAUUGGCGGUGCUUCACCUGGAGUACUUUGUGGCGAAUUUGGUGUGGAAAUUUGAGUGGAGAGCUGUGGAGGGAGAUGACGUGGACCUGUCGGAGAAGCAGGAGUCUACUGUGGUGAUGAAGAAUCCAUUGCAAGCCCACGUAAUCCCUAGAAUUUAAUGCGUGGGAGAAUUCUGUAAUAAUUUUUCGAUAUACUUUGAACUGUCAAAUCCAUCAAUGUAUGCUCUUCAUUGAUUAUGCAAUUUCGAAAAUUUGGAAUUUUAGUUUACUAGUGUGAUACAAGACAGAUUUUAUAACUUCAAUAUUUAGUGAGUGAUUUGAGUGAGCUGUACUUGCUACUUUUUAGCUUAUAACUAAUACAACUUUCCAAUCUUGGAAGACAUCUUCUGUAUUUAGAGAUUGCCCAAUAGCAAGGAGCAUUUGAGAAUUUGAUGGGAAUGCCUACAUAGUUACAACUCUCCUUUAAUCUUGGUGUUACAACUUGUUUGAUGACUAAUUCGAUAUCCCAGUUAUUGUGGUCUGAACAAACUCGGUGGAGUAGUGUUUUUGUUUUUACCUUCGUAUAUAUAGAAAUGGAAGAAUAAACAACUUUUUGAAGACAACUUCUUUCCGACAAAGGUGUUAUGGUACCAUUUCUGUUCAUUGCUUAAUUUGUUAGACUAUGCUUCGUCCUAAAAAUUCGUCAACUGAAGUAAUCUGAAGUUUUCAACUUCAUGUUUUGAGCCUCGGAGAUAAGGUUAAGCUCUAUGGAACUACUAUAUUUACAACAAUCUCGAUCUGAUUUCUUUGACAUGUUGAAUUUGUUGGUGGGACGCUGAGAUGCAAUGAAUAUGUGACAUUACGCAAAGUUGGAGAUGCAAGCCAUAAGGUUGGUCAUAUACAAUAUGCUAAUAGUAUUUGCACCCACAUUUUUAGCACAACAGUUCCAUAGCUAGAGUUCUAGUUUGCGGACGGAAAGUCUGACUAGCGUAUAUAUAAUUUGAUCUUUUGUAGGGUGGUGGUUCUGGCACCCAACAAAUUGUGAUUGAAGGCCCCUUAUGUGAGAAUUAUUACAAGAUUCGGGAGUAUCUCUAGUCACAAUUUUAUGUCCUUUAAGACCAUCUCCAACCUUUGGGGACAAAGCUUAAAAAUUUAAGCCAGAAAAUUUUAAGUCAUAAGCGAGAAACUGUUUUUCUCUUCUAACCCUUAUGGCUUAAAAUUUUAGCCUGUGAUGAUCAAAUAAUGAUUUUAGCCUAACUUUUUGUUUUCGGUAACUUUUUUUGAAAAUAAAAUUUACGUAGAUUAUCUUAAUCUAUUUUUAUAAAUAUUUUAGUCUAAAAAUAUUUAAAUUCCGAUAAGUAAUUAAAAAUCAUACAAAUACAUAGGUAUUUAUAAAGUUUUAAGUUAAAUUUGAUUUAAAUAAUUUUCUUAAAUUAUUUUAGAUGUUGAUUUAAUCUUGGACGGUCAAAUCUUUUUUUUACUUUUAGAUUUGAUCUCAUUUGAUCAUAACCGUUAAAUUAUAAGUAAAAAGCAAAAGAAAAAUUGAAAUAUAACAGUUUGGUGGAUUCAAAAUAAUUUAAGCCAACUUUAAAUCUUGGAGGAAUCUAGUUUAGAGAUAUAUUUUAUUUUAGCUUAUGGUUGGAGAUAGUUUGGAGGUUUUAAAAUUUAUAUUUUAAGCUUUAUUUUAUAAAUUAGAGAUCAUCUAAAUGGAUAGACAUAAUAUCUAAUGCCUUCAUAUGAACUUGAAUCACAAUGUUAACUUCCAGUGAUUCAGGAAACACACUAAAGUUUAAUUUCAACGUAGGACUUAUUUUUCGUCGAAGUUGUCAUGGACUCAUGGUCAGACAUUUUAAGUGAAAGUGACAAUAUGUGCAGCUGAGUUAAUGCCGUGGAAACUUGGUUCCUUAUAAUGUAUGGAAACUAACAAUUAAUGAGCAGACGCAGUUGCCCUUUUGUCUGAUUGCUUACGAUUCACCAUGGAAACCUGGUUCCUUGUCCUCAUCGCCCUCUGCGUCUCCUUCCUCCUCAAACCCCUUCUCUCUCUAUUCCUACCCACUUCCAUCUCCAGACCCAAUCUCCCUCUCGGGCCUCGCUUCUUCCCCAUCAUCGAGGGCUUCUUAUUCCUCCUCAAAUCUGCCUCGGAGCUCGAGCCUAUUAUCCGCAAACUCCAGGCCGAAUACGGGCCCAUCAUCUCCCUCCGCAUCGGCUCCCGCUCUACCGUCUUCGUCGCCGACCGCUCCCUCGCCCACCAGGCCUUAAUCCAGAACGGAGCCGUGUUCGCCGACCGCCCCCGGGCCUUGGCCACCAACAAGUGUCUCAACAGCAACCAGCACACCAUCGGCUCCGCCGGCUACGGUCCCUCGUGGCGUCUCCUCCGCCGCAAUAUCACCUCCGAAAUCCUCCACCCUUCCCGCGUUAAAUCCUACGGCAACGCCCGCAAAUGGGUUCUCGACAUCCUUGUCAACCGCCUCAAAACCGAGUCUCAAUCCCACUCAGAAGACGUCGCCAGCGGCGUCAGGGUGGUCGACCAUUUCCGAUACGCCAUGUUCUGCCUCCUGGUUCUGAUGUGCUUCGGCGACAAAAUGAACGAAGAGCAAAUCAAAGAAAUCGAGCGUGUGAACCGCCAACUACUUUUGAGUUUCGGGCGGUUCAAUAUCCUCAAUUUCAAUCCAAAAUUGACGAAGAUUAUCUUCAAAAAUCGGUAGCGGCAAUUCUUCAAAAUCCUCGAGGAACGACGAGAAGUGCUCGUCCGUCUGAUUCGAGCACGACAAACCAGGGCGAAGCAGGGCAGCAAAACCGACGACAAAGACGAUGAAUUUGUGUUGUCGUAUACUGAUACGCUGCUGGACCUCGAACUUCCCGACGGCAACGAAAAGCGGAAGCUUUCGGAGGGAGAAAUGGUCAGCCUCUGCUCAGAGUUUCUGAACGCCGGCACCGACACGACUUCCACCGCGCUGCAGUGGAUCAUGGCCAACGUAGUGAAGUACCCGCAAGUUCAGGAGAAGCUGUUUGCUGAGAUUAAAGGGGUGAUGGGAGAAACGGAGGAGGAGGUGCGGGAGGAGGUCCUACACAAGCUGCCGUAUCUGAAAGCCGUGAUCUUGGAGGGGCUGAGGCGCCACCCGCCGGCGCACUUUGUGCUGCCGCACGCGGUGACGCAAGACGUGGUUUUGGGCGGACACGUGGUGCCCAAGAACGGGAGUGUUAAUUUCAUGGUGGCGGAUAUAGGCUGGGACCCGCAAGUGUGGGAGGAUCCCAUGGCGUUCAAGCCCGAGAGGUUCUUGGGCAGCGGCGGAGAAGAAGGGUUCGAUUUGACGGGGAGCAGGGAGAUUAAGAUGAUGCCGUUUGGGGCAGGGAGGAGGAUCUGUCCUGCGUCGGGAUUGGCGGUGCUUCACCUGGAGUACUUUGUGGCGAAUUUGGUUUGGAAGUUUCAGUGGAGGGCUGUGGAGGGAGAUGACGUUGACCUGUCAGAGAAGCGGGAGUUUACUAUGGUGAUGAAGAAUCCAUUGCAAGCCCACGUAAUCCCUAGAAUUUAAUACGUGUGAGAAUUCUGAGAAUUCUGUACUAAUUUUUAGUACGUGUGAGAAUCCUGUACUAAUUUUUAGGGUAAAUUACAUAGUAGUCACUCAUGUUUGAUGUCUAUUACAACCUCAUACAACGUCUUUAAAACAUUUCACUUUCAUACAUCAUUCAAAAUAAUACAUCCGUUAGAUUUUCCGUCCAUUAAUCUGUUAAAUACUGACGUGGCUGCCACAUCUGUGCUGAUGUGGCUGCCAAAUGUGUGUCACGUGGCAAAAAUAAUAAUUUUUUAAUUUUUUUUAAAAAAACCUAAAUCUUUGAAAUUUAAAAUAAAAUAAAAUAAAAUAAAAAAUAAAAAAAUAAAAACCCAAAAGCUGAACAAAACCCCACCCCCGUGAACCCCUCUCAGCCUUCUUCUUCCCCGCUCCCAUCUUCCCCCACCCCAUACUUGCACCUUUGAAGGAAAAAAAAAACCCAAAGAACAACCCAGAUCCCAUACCCCAUACGACCACCCCCCAACCCAUAUCCCAUUACCACGCCCCCCCUGCGCGCGCGCGCGCGAAACCCAACCCAGAUCCCAUUACCACCCCUCCGGCGCGAAACCCAUAUCCCCCCCCCCCGAACUGCAAGGACGUCAUCCUCACCUGCAUCAUCUUCAUCGUCGAAGACGACAACUGUGGAGCCAAAAAUAUUCACUAGGCGACACGUGGAUUUGUGAACGAAAGAGGACAAAAAUACCCUUGAGGUAUAUCGGGAUUCCUACGCGCAAGUAGUGGGUAAUCAUCCUCAACCAAUUCAAAAAUGCUCCAGAAGAGGUAACUAAUUCCAAAUUAUCUUAUUUUAGGUAAUUAUUUCCAAAACUUAAUUUCCCUAAUAUAUUAUUUAGUUAAUUAAUUAUCUAAAUAAUAUAUUCUUCCCAUAUCUCCUAAAAUCAUCCCUUAAUUACCAAUUUGAAACAUCCACUCAAACCUAAAAAAUGGGAUAGGGCCGGCUACCCCAUUCAAAGUCUAUUCCAUCACCUUUUUUUCUACCUUUUCCACCUUUCCUUCCCUUUUAAAUUAGCCAAUCAAUACCAUAAAUAAUAAAAUAUCUCCUUUCAUAUUUAAUUAGCCAAUUAAUUGGCUAAUUAAACCUAAAAUUAAACCUAAAAAUCCCAUAGUAACCGGCCACAUUCCCUCCCAUCUUUUCCCUACCUUUUUUUUUAUUUUCCUCCACUUUAUUACUCAAAUAAAGCUAAUCAUUUAAGACCCCAUUCAUUUCUAUUUUAUUAGCCAAUAAAGGGGCUAAUAAAAAACCACAAAUUGACUAAGAAAAAGGGAAGGGUGUGGCCGGCCCUUCCUUGGUGAAAAAUGGGGAAGCCUAAUCCUAUAAAUAGGCUCCUAUUCUCACCAAAAAUUCAUUCCAAACCUCUUGCAAAAAUUCCAAAACACUCUAAACACUAUUUCUCUCUAAAUUUCUAACUUUGGCAUCGGAGGUUCUUCGGCCAAAGCCCCCCCCAUUCAUCGUGGGCGCGUGAGGCUUUUGGCCUUAACCUAAGGUGCUAGUUUGUUUUGUAGGUGCAAAAUCGUCCAAGAUCGAAGAGGAGAAAAUUUGCAUCCACAAAUUGGUGCUUUCAUUGAGAGUUGUAAUCCAUACUCGUAGAAGACUCUCGUACAAAAAGGUUUUUUUCUUUAUUUUCUAGUCUAUUUGAAUAUUUUUCAUACGUUCUUAUUAUUAGAAUUUUCUACUUGCAAAGGUUCUUUGAUAAAACGUAUAAGAAAAAUAUAAUGACUAGAAAUUUAGAAAAUUCCGCAAGUAAAAAAUUCUAGUAUUCAAGAAAUGGGACUACGGAGAUCCAUGAGGCAAAAUGCGACAAGAAGGGGAGCGACAUCAUCACCACGAGCUUCCACCAUGGGAACCACCGUGAUGGCUACCUCGGUAGCCACCCGCGGCGAGGUCCAUGGUGCCUUCACCACGGCCGCCAUGGGAACCACCACGGUGGCUACUUCGGUAGCCGCUCGUGGCGAGGUCCAUGGAGCCUUCACCACAGCCGCCAUGGGAACCACCACGGUGGCUACUUCGGUAGCCACUCGUGGCGAGGUCCAUGGAGCCUUCACCACGGCCCGAGUCGUGCCAUCCAAGUUUACGUGGACCAAAGCCCAAGCCUCGCAUUCACAUGCACCGCGCAUUGAGCAGCCUGCUCCCCGUGAUCCAGCCUGCUCUUGUAGCCCAGCCUGCUCCAACGAUCCAGCCUGCCCCAGUGAUCCAGCCUGCCCCCGCAGCCCAGCCUGUUUUCAUGGUUUCCCAAGCUGCCCAAGUCCGCCCGAGACAAUCUCAACCAUCCGGACCAAUCAUCGAGGCUGAGGCGUUUUCACCGCAUUUCUCUGCAGAUUUGACAUUCCCCAACUCAAAUCUCGCACCUGGAGUCAACCACCCUUUCAUUGUUCAAGGAGGUGCAUUCCAUCCAAGUUCUUCCAAUCCGAAUGGCGAACAAAACUUGUCCCGACAAGUCAUAGAAUUGACGAGCGCCCUUGCACAACAAACCACCUUGGUGAAUCAACUUUUACAACGUACUGAGAUGCAUCGCGCUCACGAUGAAGUUUCCCGGAGUAGAACAAGGGUAGACAAUGAGCCUUUUAAACAGCGUCCUGGAAAGCAGCCAUUCAACCCAUCACAAGUGGAGCAUUCAGACAGUGCACACUCUCGAUUGGGCCCCCGAAAUAGCAUAUACUCCCGUCUUAGCGCGCGGAUGAGCGUGCACUCUCGGUUAGGCCCACGAGCAAGUAUACAUUCACGGUUGGGGCCACGCUUUGAUAAUCAACAUGGGCAACCUUCCAGGCAAAGCAUUCAUUCGCGAUUAGGCUCACAAGGAGUAUCCUCCACAUCACAUCGGAGCAGGCAGCCUGACAAACGGAAGGAAACGAUCGUUCAAUCUGGCUCUAGUUCAACCGAUAGCCUGCAAAGAAAUCCCUCGCCUGCUAGGAAUCUAUCUCAUCCAUUGCAGCCACAGCGUAGACGAGCCGAGCGAGAAGAAGAGCAGCCUAGACCGGUAGAAAAAGACCAAGGGCAGCAAAAAGCUCCGCUACCCCCAACAAAAGCAAAUCCAAGAAGAGGUAGAAAGGCUUUUCAAUGAGCGGAUGCGUGAUUUUCGGCGCAACGAAAUGGUUGAUGAGGCACUAAGGCGAGAUAUGACCAACAUGAGCAGGUCACCUUUCGCGGAUGAGAUCGAGCAGGCAGAGCCUCCGCGCAAGUUUAGCAUGCCACACUUCACAUCUUUCAAAGGAGAUGGGGAUCCCGAAAGACACUUGAAGCAUUACCGAAAUGCGAUGGUCCUUUAUCGGAAUAAUGACGCCCUUAUGUGCAAAAUAUUCGCCACUACUUUACAAGGCGAGGCACAAGAUUGGUUUCAUACCUUGCCGGCACGAUCCAUCCUGAAUUUUGAUGAUCUUUCCUUGGUCUUCACCAAAGAAUACUCAUCUUAUCGAUCGAUCAAGAAGAAGUCCGAUCACCUGUUCAACGUAAAGAAAAACCCAAAAGAGUCGCUUCGCGAUUACGUGAAGAGAUUCAAAGCAGAGAAGGCGAAGAUCGUCGGAUGCGACAACUCGAUAGCAAGUGCAGCCUUCCAAAAAGGACUACCAGCAGACCACCUACUGUUUGGAGAAAUGAUCAUGAAAGAAGACCUAACUCUAGCAGAUUCCUUUGCUCUGGCAGAAAAGCAUGCGCUUUGGGACGAGGCUCGACAAGCAGAAAAGGCUCCCGAACAACCUCGAAAAGAGUUGGCAGCUACUCAAAAGAAGGAUGAAAAACAACCCAACAAGGGCAGGCAGGAGUUCAAGCGCAGGGACCGACCCACGACCAAAGAAGGCCCGAUGACCAACAACUAUUCUAAGUUCUCAAUUCCGAUUCAUCAAAUCCUUCGUGACGUCAAGAAUGAACCAUGGUUCAAGUUGCCGAAGCAGUCAAAAGGAGAUACUUCCAAGUUGGACCACACUAAGUAUUGUGCAUUCCACCGAGGUCCCGGUCACACAACCAACGAUUGCUACACUUGGAAGAACUACCUAGAGAAACUCGUGAAAGAAGGCAAAGUCGAUAGAUAUUUGGACAAGCCAGCUGAGCAGCAAAAAAGGAAUGCAGACGGAGAUGAGGAGCCACCAACUAAGACGAUUCGAAUCAACGGCAUUUUUCGCUGAGUCCGAGCACUUAGGGGCUACUAAUAACUCCAAAAAGAGGAAGAUCCAGCAGGCCUUACUAAUCUCACAAGUUCAUGCAGUCGAUACCCAACCUGGACCUAUCAUUGGCUUCACGGAGCAGGAUGCAGAAGGAGUCGACUUCCCACACGACGAUGCAUUAGUAGUAUCUGUCCAACUAGCCCAUGCUAUAGUCGACAGGAUGAUGGUUGACAAUGGAAGUGCGGUCAACCUACUUCAACUUUCAGUCAUUCAGAAGAUGGGCCUGGAAAGUACAAUCAUACGCCGGGCAGAGGUACUUACUGGAUUCAACGGACACACCUCAACUGCCAUCGGUCAUAUCAUACUUGACGUAAAAACACCGCCAGUCGUCUCAAAGCAAACAUUCACGAUUGUAAGCGACCCAUCUCCCUACAAUGGGAUUCUUGGGAGACCUUGGUUGAUCAAGCUGGAUGCUGUCACUUCCGUCAAGUAUCAAAAAAUCUGAUUCCGCAUCCCGGAAGGAGGAGUCGGAGAGAUCAAGUCUGACCAGGCUUCAUCCCGACGAUGCACUGUGCAAAUGUUAAAAGAAACAAAGAAAAAGACCUUUACCCCCGUAGAGGUUACCGAAGUCCAAAAGGGCAAAGAAAUUGCCAAAUAGCAAUUACAGCAGGUGGAUCGAGAAGAUGGCACCCAAGCAGACAGGAUAGGAUGGAAACCCGAAGAGGACGCCGAAGACAUCAUUCUUGAUCCCCAGCAGCCGGAAAAGACGACUAAAAAUUGGCUCACGACUAAGCCCAGACGAGAAGGAAGAACUCACAAUUUUCCUUAGGAAAAACCGAGAUAUCUUCGCAUGGUCACCAUCCGACAUGCCCGGUAUUGAUCCCAAAGUGGCCUGCCACAAGCUGCACGUCGAUCCAACUGCCAAACCGGUAAUUCAAAAAAGAAGACAUUUCGCUCCCGAACGAGUAGCGAUCAUCGAGGCAGAAAUCGACAAACUAUUGGAGGCCGGUUUCAUAGAAGAGGUAGCACACUCGGCAUGGCUUGCUAAUGUCGUACUAGUCAUGAAGAAAGAGAAGGGCAAAUGAGGGGUUUGCGUAGACUACACUGACCUCAACAAAGCAUGCCCAAAAGACCAUUAUCCUGUCCCCCCGGAUUGAUCUAUUAGUAGAUUCAACUUCUGGAAACCAGUUACUUAGUUUCUUAAACGCAUACUCCGGCUACAACCAAAUAGCCAUGCAUGAGCCCGACAAGGAGAAAACUGCGUUCGUGAUAGAGCGAGGCACUUACUGCUACAAGGUCAUGCCUUUUGGCCUCAAGAACGCGGGAGCCACUUACCAAAGGUUAGUAAAUAUGAUGUUCAAAAAGCAAAUUGGGGUAACCAUGGAGGUCUAUGUCGACGAUAUCAUGGUAAAGGGCAAGCAGCGAUCAGAUCACAUUCGCAAUUUAGCAGAAGCUUUCAAUAUCCUUAGAAGGUACAAGAUGAAGCUCAACCCCACCAAGUGCACGUUUGGAGUAUCUUCAGGUCGAUUCCUAGGGUACUUAGUAACCCAACGAGGAAUUGAGGCACAUCCCAAGCAAAUCCAAGCAAUCAUAGAGAUGAAAUCUCCAACUACCUUGAAGGAGAUCCAAAGCUUGACCGGACGAGCAGCCGCCCUCAAUCGCUUCCUCUCACGAUCCACCGAUCGAUGCAAACCCUUUUUCAAAGCUAUCAAGAGGGCACAAAGAAACAAAUGGGAUGAAGAAUGCGAAAAAGCUUUCCAAGACUUGAAGAGUUAUCUCACAUCACCUCCCUUACUAUCCAAGCCGGAAGCAGCGGAGGAUUUAUAUAUUUAUUUGGCAGUUUCCGAGGUAGCAGUGAGCUCUGCUCUCAUACGAGAAGAGCUGGGGGCCCAACUGCCGGUAUUCUACACUUCUAAAGCUCUUCUCGAUGCAGAAACAAGAUAUCCGAAGAUCGAAAAAUUAAUUUUGGCGUUAGUUGUUGCGGCUCGGAAGCUCAGACCCUACUUUCAAACUCAUACAGUCAUUGUUAUGACUCAAUAUCCCUUACGAUCAAUAUUACAUGGUCCGGACGCUUCUCAACGAGUGAUGAAAUGGGCAUUGGAACUUGGCCAAUAUGGUUUAGUUUUCCAACCUCGCACAGCGAUAAAGGCCCAAGCCUUGGCGGAUUUCGUGGCAGAAUUCACACCUAGCCUAGGCAACGCAACAGUGCGGCCCAACGACGCCCCAGAAGCAGCAGAGAGUACCUUAGCCACACUUACUCCAUCCAAUAAAGAUUUCUGGAACUUGCAUGUCGACGGUGCAUCCAACUAUAAAGGCUCGGGAGCAGGUGUAGUUCUUGUUACUCCAGAUGGCUCAAUGCUCGAGCAGGCGAUCACUCUAGGUUUCAAAGCAUCCAAUAACGAAGCAGAGUACGAGGCUCUACUAGCGGGCCUCCGAAUGGCAAAAGACUUGGCGGUGAAGAAACUCGCAAUUCAUUCUGAUUCCCCAACUAAUCACCAGCCAGGCUACUGGGGAAUACACUGCAAAACACCCAAGGAUGGCACAAUACCUAGAGAAAGUACGCCAGCAGCUUGAAGCAUUUCAGACUUACACUCUCACUCAAGUUCCGCGGGCAGACAAUGCACAUGCAGAUGCACUAGCUGGUUUAGGCUCCGCCCUUGACCACCAAUUCAAACGCUCUAUUCCGGUGGAAUAUCUAGACAAGCCAAGCAUAGAGAUGGAGUCGAUAGCCGAAGUGUCACAGGUUAGUGUAACUCCCACUUGGCAAAGUUCAAUUAUAGACUACUUGGUCAACGACACAUUACCCACAGAAAGAUUGGAGUCAAGGAAGCUUCAAAUUAAGUCGGCACGCUACUAUAUGUGGAAUGGCAUUCUCGUCCGAAGAUCCUACACCGGACCACAUCUCCGCUGCCUGGCACCUCCCGAUGACUUGAAGGUUCUAAGCUCAAUCCACGAAGGCGUUUGUGGGAAUCACUCUGGAGGUCGAUCCUUAGCCCAAAAGGCUCUUAACGCAGGCUAUUACUGGCCUACCAUGCACCAAGAUGCUAAGGAGUUAGUACAAAAAAUGCGACCGUUGCCAACGCUACAAACCAGUACCAGCACACUACCCGCCAGUGAGCUACACACCCGCAAACGAGUCCUUGGCCAUUCAUGCAGUGGGCAAUCGACCUGGUAGGGCCUAUGCCGCCUGCUACGGGGGGCAGAUGCAUGAUGAUCGUGGCAACCGACUAUUUCACCAAAUGGGUAGAAGCAGAACCCAUGACAACCACGACUCAGACGGAUAUAGAGAGCGCUUUAUAUGGAGGAACAUCAUUUGCCGAUUUGGCAUCCCUCAGUCCAUCGUCACUGACAACGGUCCUCAAUUUGUGGGAAAAGAUUUGGCAAAGUUCUUCCAAAAAUACGGCAUCAAACAACACAUGUCCACACCAAGAUAUCCUCAAGGCAAUGGGCAGGCUGAAGCAUCCAACAAGACGAUUCUCGACUGCCUCAAGAAAUCCCUCACCGACAAAAAGGGAAAAUGGCCAGAUGAGCUCCCAGGAUGUUUAUGGGCAUAUCGCACCACCAAAAGACGAGCAACCGGUGAAACUCCUUUCUCUUUGGCGUUUGGUUCGGAGGCAAUCAUACCUCCCAACAUCAUCGUGCCAAGCAUCAACACUCUAUUGCUAAACGUUGAGCGGAACAGUAAAGAAAUGGCCACAGAUUUAGAUCUGGCAGAAGAAAGGCGCGAACAAACCAUCACCCGCAUCGCAGCCUACCAGCAGCAGCUCAUUUCCAGCUACAACAAAAGGGCCAAGAUCCGGCAGUUCCAACCUGGAGACCUAGUCCUAAGAAAAGCUUUCAUCACUGCCCGCAGAGAAGGCUCGAAAAAAAUGGACCCCAUCUGGGAAGGUCCUUACAAGAUCAACAGAGUCGGCGGCAAAGGCAGUUAUACUCUUGCUACCAUGAAUGAUAAAGAGAUCGAGAAGCAAUGGAACGCCUACAAUUUGAGGAAAUACCAUGUGUGACUUCACACUAUAUCAAGACCCGAAGACUCGAGCAUCUCAACGGUCACCACCUCGUAAACCGAGGACUAUCCAAUCAUCAUGCAGUUUUUGCAACCAAGUUAUUCGCUCAUUUUAUUUUUCAAUAAAGAAUUCAAAAGUAAUUUGUAAUUUGGCUUUAAUAUAUGUCUACAACAACUUAUUUCUUUCUGCAUUUCAAAAGAAAAUUACACCCCCCAAGGGACCAACUGUGCUCUCCAAGGAGGGAGGAUAAACUCAACACUCCGAAUAUCCAGACGUGGAUGAGCUUGGCUGCCCUAGAAUGACUAGGUGCAUGAUGGCUUGCGCCGGGAUUCCUAGAAGUAGCCACAAUGGUCUGUUUCAAGGCUUAGCUAGUUGAAGGAUUAUGGGUCUAUCGGCUUAAUCCGCAGGGAACCGGGCCCUAGAUACGGAGGGGGCACAUUAUGCAGCACACCCAAUGGGCGGCUGCCCUGGAAACCUAAAGCUGCUACCGAGUGCACUAAGGUAGCCUACGGAUUUCCAGAAGACUGCCUACGGCUUGCCCUUCGAGCAGUAGAACCACGCUAGACUUAUGCAACCGCACAUUAUUGUGAAAGGUUAAACAAGUUAGCGUGCACACACGAAGAUUUUAUCCACUACCGACAUGCUACGUAGUUGAUAAGCUUCACCUCUGUCAAACGCAGAAUAACUUAUACCAAAUCCUAAAGUGUUGUGAUACUUGCUACACGGCCUACGGAAUUGGAAAAAUCCAAGGUUGAAUAACCAAGUGGUUACGCGGAUUCGUCUGCUUCUGUAAGUAAGGCAUCCGGCUGCCAACCCUAUGGUUAAUAACUUUGCAGAAGUUUCUACAUCAACACCUACGGUUGCAUAGGCUAUGUGGGCCUGUCUACUUAUAGAAAAGUAGCACGCCUGCCACUGGCUUAUAUAAGGUCUAAAGGUUAAAAAAAAAAAUGGGAAAAGCAAAAGAAGCGAGUUUAUUAAAUUUUAUAGCAAAAUUGAUAAACAACAAGCAAAUACCAAAAGAGUUCAAGCAAAAGCAACAAAGGAAAGAAAAGGAAACCCUAAAAGCUACCUAGAAGACUACUCUUCGGUAGUUUGGACAUCUCCCAACUGCUCGGUUGUUACACCUUCAGCAGCCUUGGUGUUCUCAGCAGCGGCAUCCUCCGGACCUUUACCCUCGACUGUUCCAGCCUGGGUAUCAACUCCUCCAGCUAUUUCACCGAUAGAAGACUCAAAGGUAAAAUCGAGCAAGUCUUCUGGGGAAAUAGAGAAGGUCUCGAAGUCUUUACCGGAAAACUCAAAGUCAGACGGCCGCCCAUAGAGAUGAUCUACAUAGCCCAGCUUGUAGAAAUCAGAUUGGUUCUGAAUAAGCGAAGCCUCGAAACCAUUUUUCUCACUCUUCAACUGCUCAUUCUCCUCAAACAGGCAAGCACGAACUCGCUGCAACUCCUCAAUUUCUUUCUUAAGAUUGUCGUUGGUCUUCAAAACACCUUGAAGUUCCGACACUUGAGGCUCAAGCCUGUCAGCAACCUCUUUGAAGUGGAUCGCUUGGUUGUAAGUAGCAAUCAAUUCUUCAUCCUUUGCAUAAGCAGCGGAGCGAAGUUCAGAUAUGGAGCGUUCAAGAUCUCGAAUCUGAGGUAUGUAACGCUCGAUUUCCUUCUCUGCACUUUCAUUCUUUGUUUGGACCGCAUCAAACCUAGUCUUCAAAUCCAUGAUCUCCUGGUGAGCGGCCUCAAGCUGCUGAGAAGUGGGGUCAGAAGUAUGAGAUUCCUUCAAAGCAGCAAGCUCAGAUUCCAAUUUUUUGAUUUUUUUCAACCGAGGAAUAAGCUUCGGCAGCCAUAGUUCUUGCCAUCUCUUUAGCAGCCUUGGUGUCCUCUUGGUCAAGGAACAUAGACUCGGCUGCCAGAAUUGUUGUUUUCUGCAUCAUGGCUAGCAGAGCAGUCUUCCUAUACUCGGGUGUAUGCUUUGCAAAAAAGACUCGGACCAACAAUCUCUUUGACGCCAUCAACAAACUGGGCGCAUACAUCCAUGUCUUCAAGAAGAUCUGGUUUCAAAAGAGCACAAAUCUUAGCAGCCUCCUCAGAAACGGCCUUGGCGGAUUCUUCAAGCCUGCCUGAGCGAGCAGCUUCAUUCUUAUCAGCAGACGAGAUGGUUGCAGCAGCGGAAGAAGCAGUAUUCGGCGCCACUUUAGCAGACAGGGGCACCUUAUCACUCUUCAUCAUAGUAGCAAGUCUCUCUUCAAGGGUAAGUCAGGUUUAGUCCCGGACGGACGUUUUGGCACAAACUUCGGUACCAAAGGCACGGAAGAACUUUUACGCUGAGCAAUUUUUUUCAGCAAUCGAGCUAGCAGCCUUCGAAGCAAUAGGCGUUACUGGCACAAAUGUAGCAGUUCGUUCUUUCUCGCCCUUAGAGGAAGUCAGGUCAAUCACAAUCUUGGGAGCAGCCGGAGAAUCCCCACGAGCAGUCUUCAUUUUCUUCUCAGCAGGUAUCUCUUGAGCAGGCGGGGAAUGUUUCUUUUUCCCACCUUCAUUGGUAGUAGGCUCCACCACAGUGAUAGGACGAGCCAUCGCGUCUGCCUUGAUCCGUUUUAUUUCUUCUUCUGGGGGUAGUCCACCUUUUUCCCUACGAAGAGGACUAAGCAGCCAACGCCACUCACGAUACUCGGAAGGAAUACCCAGAGCGACAUGCACUUUUUUCAUAUCUGGAGAAACCCUAGGAGUUGAGCCAAAUUCCGAAUCUACAAAAAAAAAAGAAAAAAAAAACAGAAGACAAUCAGAAAAUUGAAGAAUGAUUUGGCACUAAAGCAAAGCAGCCGAAAAAGACUAAGCAGUCUGCUUACCAGAUAUGAAGACCGUUGAUACACGCAGCUCGGGAGAAGAAUCAGAUUCCCAUUCUCCACUUAUCUCCAAAGUCUCUUUGGCCCAAUCAUGAUCUCCUUUACUCGAAUUAUCAAAAAGCUUAUGACGGAUUCGCAGUUGUCCAACUCCAUCAAUACGACCUAUGUCAAAGAAAUACCAAAAUUCGUUGGUGGUUAGUCCCAAGUCAAAGAAUUGGUUCAAAUUGUGGAACCCCACCAUCACUCGGACCGCAUUCGGGGAACAUUGGGCAGGCGCACAUUUCAUAGAGCAAAGCACUUCUUGGAAGAAAACGCGGUAUAGGGAAAGUAAACCCUAACACAAAAUAGUAAGGAUGGAACUUGAUAGUUCUCCGAGUUCCACUGCAUGGUUCUCGGCUGCUACCAUCUUUAACUCGUCUCACACGCACUCCCGACGGAAUGGCAUGCCAAUACGUUUCAAGAAAAUCUCUAAACAAAUUGUCGGAGCUAAUCUUGAUGUGAGCAGCUUUGAAGUAGCCAAUCUUGCUCAAAGACCCGCCUUGACGGUACAGCGGGGGCACACCAUCAUCAUUCUUACGGCUCGAGGAAGACAUGCUUGAAAAUUCUACAAAAGUACAAGGAAGAUUUGUUAGAGAGUUGUUAAAAAAAAAAAAAAAAAAGAAAAGAAACAGCUCUCGGCAGCAAAAAAAAAAAAAAAAAAAAAAAAAAAAAAGAAACAGCUCUCGGCAGCAAAAAAAAAAAAAAAAAAAAAAAAAAAAAAAAAAAAAAACAAGAAUUAGGCUUAAAGCCGCAGGACCAGCAAACCUGCCAGGCCCCACGGCCUGGCUUGCUUCAACGCCCAGCAAGAAAAAAAUAUAUAUAUUUUCAUGGCAUUACCAUGCCAUGGUUCACCAGAUCAACCUAUAACAAGUCUCUGAUUCCCAUCAGGCCAAGAAUCAAGAUCCAAAGAUUCCAGAAAAUCAAGAAGACAAGAAAAAUAAUUUUUUCUUACUUGGAAGCAACGAAGAGCGAUCCUUUACACGGGCAAGACGUAGAAGAUUGCUAGAGGAGGGGGAACAAAUAUCCUCUAAGCUCUCUUUUUCUCUUGUAAGGAUGAAUAAGUUUCACUCUAAAAGUUGAUUUAACAAUCCACUUAAGGUGGACUUAAAUAAGCUUUGGGGAAAUUUAUUUCCUUUUCCUAGAAGGAUUUAAUUUCCUAUUGAAAGAAAGAAUCAACAACAAAAUAGGAAACAGUUCAGAAUUUCCUAAAGCAAGAAAAUCUCUACACCUAUUGCCCUUUUCUGCAAACAGCUCAACAGGUGUGGGGGCAUUUGUGGAGCCAAAAAUAUUCACUAGGCGACACGUGGAUUUGUGAACGAAAGAGGACAAAAAUACCCUUGAGGUAUAUCGGGAUUCCUACGCGCAAGUAGUGGGUAAUCAUCCUCAACCAAUUCAAAAAUGCUCCAGAAGAGGUAACUAAUUCCAAAUUAUCUUAUUUUAGGUAAUUAUUUCCAAAACUUAAUUUCCCUAAUAUAUUAUUUAGUUAAUUAAUUAUCUAAAUAAUAUAUUCUUCCCAUAUCUCCUAAAAUCAUCCCUUAAUUACCAAUUUGAAACAUCCACUCAAACCUAAAAAAAUGGGAUAGGGCCGGCUACCCCAUUCAAAGUCUAUUCCAUCACCUUUUUUUCUACCUUUUCCACCUUUCCUUCCCUUUUAAAUUAGCCAAUCAAUACCAUAAAUAAUAAAAUAUCUCCUUUCAUAUUUAAUUAGCCAAUUAAUUGGCUAAUUAAACCUAAAAUUAAACCUAAAAAUCCCAUAGUAACCGGCCACAUUCCCUCCCAUCUUUUCCCUACCUUUUUUUUUUAUUUUCCUCCACUUUAUUACUCAAAUAAAGCUAAUCAUUUAAGACCCCAUUCAUUUCUAUUUUAUUAGCCAAUAAAGGGGCUAAUAAAAAACCACAAAUUGACUAAGAAAAGGGAAGGGUGUGGCCGGCCCUUCCUUGGUGAAAAAUGGGGAAGCCUAAUCCUAUAAAUAGGCUCCUAUUCUCACCAAAAAUUCAUUCCAAACCUCUUGCAAAAAUUCCAAAACACUCUAAACACUAUUUCUCUCUAAAUUUCUAACUUUGGCAUCGGAGGUUCUUCGGCCAAAGCCCCCCCCCAUUCAUCGUGGGCGCGUGAGGCUUUUGGCCUUAACCUAAGGUGCUAGUUGUUUUGUAGGUGCAAAAUCGUCCAAGAUCGAAGAGGAGAAAAUUUGCAUCCACAACAACGAGCAGGAGCAGCAGGGCGACGAUGAGAUAUCCCGGUCGACGGCGAGAUCGGGUGGUGACGAAAGACCUCCAUGAGGAGCAGAGGGAUUAGAGAGAGAGAUAUGCAGUGGUGAUGGGGAAAGGGCGGCGUUGAUCUGGGAAAAGAGAAGGAAGGGGAGGUGAAGAGAGUGAAGAAGAGGGAGAAAUGGGUCGGGGAUUUAUGGGUUUCUGUUUUUCUGUUUUUUGUUUUUCAAAUAGAAUUGGGGGUUUCAGGAAGGUGAGGGGUGGGGUGGGGGAUUGUAGUGGAGGUGGAGGUGGAGGUGGGCGUGGGUAGGUUAGGGGGCUGCAGGGAUGGAUGGGUUUCAAGGUUUUUUUUUAUUUUUUUUAUAAUAAUUUAGAAGAUUCAGAUUUUUUUUAAAUUAAAAAAAAAAAUUUACCACGUGGCACACAUUUGGCAGCCACGUGGCACAAAUGUGGCAGCUACGUCAGCACUUAACGGAUCAAUGGACGGAAAAUCUAACGGAUGUAUUAUUUUGAAAUAAAAUGGUACAUGAUGUAUGAAAAUGAAAUGUUUUAAAGACGUUGUAUGGGAUUGUAAUAGAUCUCAAACCUGAGAGGCUACUAUGUAAUUUACCCUAAUUUUUAUUACGUGUGAAAAAUUUAUACUAAUUUUUCGGCGCAUGCUGAACCGUUAAAUCUAUUAGCGUAUGAUUAUGUAAUUUGGAAAAUUUGGAUUUUUAGUUUACUAGUGUGAUUCAAGACAGAUUUUAUAACUUCAAUAUUUAGUAAGUGAUUUGAGUGAGCUGUAUUUGCUAGUUUUUAGCUUAUAACUAAUACAACUUUCAAAUCUUGGAAGACAUCUUCUUUAUUUAGAGAUUGCCCAAGAGCAAGGAGCAUUUGAGAAUCGAUGGGAAUGACUACACUACACAGGUACAACUCUCCUUUAAUCUUGGCGUCACAGCUUUACUGAUGGCUAUUUCGAAAUCCAAGUUACUGUAUUUUGAACAAAUUCGGUGGAGUAGUGUUUUUGUUUUUACCUUCGAAUGUAUGGAAAUAGAAGAAUAAACAACUCUUUGAAGACAACUUCUUUUCGACAAAGGUGUUCAGUUACCAUUUUCGUUCACUGCUUAAUUUGUUAUACUAUGCUUCGUCCCCAAAAUUCGUCAUCUGAAGUAAUCUCAAGUUUUCAACUUCAUGAUUGGAUUUGAUGGUGGGGCGUUGAGAUGCAGUGAAUAUGUGACAUUAAAGUUGGGGAUGCAAGCCAUACGGUUGGUCAGAUACAGAUAUGCUAAUAGUAUUAGCAACCAAAUUUUUGCUGCAACAGUUCCAUUUUUUCAGAUGGAAAGUCUGACUAGCGUAUUUAUAAUUUGAUCUUUUGUAGGGUGGUGGUUCCGGCACCCAACAAAUUGUGAUCGAAGGCUCCUUAUGUGAUGAUUAUUACAAGAUUCGGGAAUAUCUCUACUCACUAUUUUAUUUGCUUUAAGUAGAGAUACAUAAUAUCUAACGCCUUUGGGUGAACCAUCAUUUGAUGCGGUGUUAAUUUCCAGUGAUUUUAGGGUACACAGUAAAGUUUAAUUUAAAUAUAAGACUUAUUUUCCGUUGAAGUUGUCAUUUUGUUCAUGCAAGAUGGAAAUCUUUUUCAGGAAUCAGGAAACAAAGCAUGUUUGAAGGGUUAGACACCCAAUUGUCAUGUUGUCCUCUUAUACCAAGUCCCACACGGGUUAAAUUCAAAUAGCACCAAGACAUUAAUGCGGAUGAAGCUUUUAACGGAAAAGAUUUUUUUUUUUUUUAAAUGAGGAUUAGUUGUGGGGCCCAUAUCAUAUCAAAGUUUAACGAUCCGAAUAGUUUAUUUUUCAAGUUACACCUCUUAGAUCAUCUUUGCAAAAUAUUAGUUAAAUCGAAAAUAUUUUGAUAUCUAAUUGAGUUCAAAUAAAUUGACGAACCCUUUUGUCUAUAAGAAACAAUGAAAUUUCAAUGAGAUAAUUAAAUAGGCAAGUGGUUUCGGAUUGAAUUGAAUUUUGCAAGGAUGAUGUAUGAAUCGAGACUUACAAAAUAGACGGCACGAAUCGUUAAAUUUCAAUGUAGAGUGGAUCCCACAACUAAUCCUUAUUUCUUAAAAAAAAAAACGAUGAUACAUCCCUUAAAUGGCAUGUACCUACGAAAACAAAACAUAACAAACAAAUUACAGUUAGACAUUUCAACUUUUUCACAUGACAAUAUGCAGUUGAGUUUGGAUAAUGCCGCAAAACUGGCAAGUAAAUUACACAAUGCCAUGCAUUUUAGCUUCUUAACGAAGGGUAAUGUUAGAGAGACUAAAUUGGAAAACAAAAUUUGCAAACUAAGGGGGGUGUAGUCAUAAUAGGAUUUGAUAGGAUUUUAAUAGACUUUAAAAUCAAGGUGUAGUCAAUUACAAUUUUAAAAGAUUUAGAAAUCAUGGUGUAGUCAAAGUAAGAUUUAAGAGGAUUUUAAAGAAUACAUCCAUAUCCAAUGGUAGUCAAUUAAGAUUUUAAAGAAUACAUAUAAAUCCAGAGUUAGUGAGAAUGCAAAAAAUUUGAUAGGAUUUGAAUGGGAGGGGAUUUUGAUGGAUUUAAAGGUGGAUCGUAUAUAUACCAAAUGCUAUCAAGAAUCCUACCAUCCCCCAUCUGAUUUCUUUUCACGUCGGCAAACAGAAAAGAACCUCCCAACCCCUUCAUCUUCAUCUAUACCUUCCUCUUCGGAACACAUCUCAUCGUCCUCUUCGACUUCGAAUUCAUCGUCUUCAUUCUCAUCUAUCAUGGAUUUUUUUUUUUCUUUCAAAUUCUACUUGUAAACAACUAUUGGGUUCUGGCAAGUUCUCUAUUUUCUCAGAAAAGGAAUAGUAUUCCUCCAUUUUUUGCCCUACCUGAGAUCCGAUGGUUCAAUAUUUUUUUAACAUAUCGCUGGAAUCAGUUUUUUUCUCCCAUGUUCUCCUCGCACGAAACCGAUUUUCAAUGGAAAAUUGCCUCAAAUCGCCAAAAUUAUCUCCAUUACCCCAAACCCACAUAACUUGCAGAAGCUCAAUGAGUUCGGCGCUGGGGAAGUGGAGCUUGCCGAAAAUUAAUGAAAUGUGGUUUCUAAUGUUAUGCUUGGUAGGUACUUGAAGGGCAGGAAGCUAGAGUGUGCAUUGAAGUUUUGGAAAAUGAUGAGCAUGGGAUUGAAAAUGAAUGGAACUACCAUGGUGAAUAUUUUUGCUACUUGCAGCUUGUGGUCAGUCUGGUAGACUGAGAAGGAAGGUUAGACACACUACUACAAAAGAGGCUAUCACUGGCGAAGCAAAAACCGACAAGAACUUCAAUUUCUGUUAGAAAUUUGGUAAAAAUCCGACAUAAAACCAUGCAAUGUUGGAUUGGAAUAGCGACAUCAUUGCUAGCAUCACGAAAGGGCUUCAAUGUCAGCUUGUCAGCUUAAUCCGCCAUGAAGCAGCGUCGGUUAAAAGUGAUAUCGAACUUUACGUCGGUUAAAAACGACGUGCUAUUCUAACAUGAUGGCGGUCAUAGUCAACAUCAAGUAGCAAUUAAACUAUAAAAUAUCCAACCCACUGUCAGUUUUAACCAACAUCAGCUAACAAUUAAAUAAAUAAAAUAUGCAAACUUAUUUGCUUUCGUUUUCAAUUAAUAAAUAUAUAAAAAGAUCUGACUUUGCUUUCGUUUUCAAUUAAUAGUAAUUAAAAAAAUUAUAUAAAAAUAAUAAUAAAUUUCAUUUAUGGGCCAAAACAAAUUCUUGCCUCUUCCGUUUUCAAUGAACCAUACUAAUGGUCUUAACAUGCUUCUUCCGCCUUAUUUAUAUGUCAAUGAAAACAAUUUUAAGCAAACUUCAUAUUAAAAAUAAAAUUUCUAAGAACUAUAUAUUAAAUUGAAAAUUAAUAACAUUUCUUAAAAAUGUACAACACAUACAAAUUCUUGCCGCACUUUAUUCCAGUAUGCCACCAACUCAACCCAUUGUGCAGCAUUCACAUCAGGAGGAGGGUGGCUGCACACCACGGCUGCUCUCUUAGUAUAAUACGGUUUUUAAAACUUAUUUCUAUACUCUUUGUGCGUAUGCUCUGCAACCUAAAGAUCAUGUAGCGGAUCAUAGGCAUUUUUGCUAUAUCUUCAUCUUCAAAAAAAAUAUUCCCUACAUCCAUAAAAAAAUCAAGCUAAUUAAUAAUUAUUAUAAUCAUUGACUUAUUCUUCUAUUUUCAAAUUUAAAAAAAAAAUAUAUAUAUAUAUAUAUAUGCCUUUAUCCUAUUCCAGAAAACUUCCUUAUCUUGUUCCUUAAUCUUACGUCAAUCACUCAUCAACGGGAGAUUUUUGUAAUCUCUAACCUCCCACUACAUAUUUUGAAAAGGCACUAGAAAUAUCACUAAUGCAUUUUCUAGACGAAUCAAACGAACAAAGUUGUUUUGUCCAUUUGGGAAUUGAGGGUCCGCGCCUCUGUUGAGAUGUUCCUUAUUCAUACAAAAAAAAAACAAUUAAAAGCCAAUAAACAAAAGUAAAUUUUCAAUUUAAGCAUAAUACUAGUUUAAACACAAAACAAAAACUGAAAUUAAUAAUAAUUCAAAAAUGAACUAGCUUCGAACUCUUCCUCUUCGAAAUGGAGUUCCUCAUAAUGUUGAUCUUCACUUUGUUGAUCUAUAGCAAAAGUUAGUGGAAGGAGAAUGAGUAAGGCUGAAAUGGAGGAAAGAGAGGGAGUAAGGACGCACGAGCGCAAAACUAAAGAAGUAAACGAGAUAAAGCGAAAUGAAAGCACGGAAGUAAUAGGGAAGAAAUGGGUUUAAAUAUGGAUAAUAAGUUGGCGUCGGUUAAGACCGAUAGUGGUUGUAAAUGACGUCGAAAUAUGUACACUUUGCGUCGGUAAAAACCAACAUCUACUCUGACACACUAACUAAAAUGCACGUGGCGUCGAAAUAUUUGGACUUCACGUCGAUUAAAACCAACACUAAGUCUAACACGACUUAAAUGCACGUAGUCUGACACACUUGACUGAAAGGCAACUGGCGUCGAAAUAGGAAAAAAUUGUGUCGGUUAAAACCGACGUGAGCCUGACAGACUUGACAAUGAUUGCAAGUGGCGUUGAAAUAAGAAAAUUUUACGUCGGUUCAAACCGACGUGAGCCUGACAGACAUGACAGUGAUUGCAAGUUGCAUGGAAAUAAAAAAAGUUGCAUCGGUCAAAACCGACGUGAGCCUGACAAACUUGAUUGUGAUUGCAAGUGGCGUCGAAACAAACGUGAAAAUUCCCGCCCAAAAUAUUUCAAUUUAACACGGGGGAGAGUAUAUAAAGGUCAUCAAUCUAUCACUUAUAACUGACACUGGAUUUCAAAAUAUUUAAAAAACUUAAAAUAUAUGUUGGUCAGAACCGACGCAGGCUUUAAAAUAUUUAAAAACAAUCACUAGUGUCGGCUAGAAGCGACACCUACUCCAACACCAACUUUAUGUCGCUUAAAAUUGACACAGUUUUUUUUAAUGCAACACCAGUAUUUAAAAAUUAUUAAAAUCUAUGUCAGUUAUAAGCGACAUUAACGAGCUAGGGUGUGAGCCAUAUCUUAGCUAUAGAAAUAAAUUCUACAACCAAGAUAUGGUGAAAAAUUAAAUUAAAUUAUAAAGACUACACAUACAUUAGAUAACAAAAUCUUACAAAAAAAUUAUCAAAUAUGCAGAGGAAUAACUAUAGUGCACAAAUUAAUUCACAACAAAAUAAUAAUUAAAUUGUAACAAUUCUUUCAAAUGCAUGAAAUAUAUGCAAAUGGAAUGGAUGAAUGUACUUACUCCCUUCUAAUCCCGUCAACACAUACCUAAAGCACCCAAGCAUGCACGUCUCAUACCAUGCUUAUACCAUUUGGCUCCGAAUACCUUAUAAUAUGAGUUAACUCCCGUUCAUCCCUUAACCCAAUUUUUGUAAUUAAACUCUCAGUUUCCACUUUAUUAAACAUGCAUUCCCCCUGACGCCUGACAUAUACAAGAUUUCAUUAUUUUAUAAUAAAUCAAUUUGUAUACUCAAGCCCUGCACCCUACGCCUGACAUAUACAAGGUUCAUUAUUUUAUAUUCAAGGCAAACUUCAGCCCUUGAAUAGCCUCACAACGCAAACACUUUACAAACUCAACACAACUCUUUUUCUUGUUUUGCAAUGCAUAUGUAUAUGCCAUGUUCACAGAGAUAUCAAUACUCACAUUUUCUUUAACAAGCCUGUAAGUUUCAACAUAAAUCAAAUUGAUUAGUAACAAGAGUAAUAUAAUCAUAAUAUUAACAAAAUAAUAAUCUUUGAUGUAAAUGAUAAGCAAUAUAUUACCAUUUCUUCAUUUUGUCGAUCCUCCUUUUCCAUUAUGUUUCUAUUUAAUAACUCAGUGUUUAAAUGGUUUGCUCAACUCAAAUUUAUUGCAAUUAGACAAAGGAACACGGAGAUUUAAGUGGCUCACCAAUUUGGCUACGUCCACUAGGGUUGCAUAUGCAUUUAUGUUUUCACUAUGUAAGAGAGAUUUACAAAAAAAAAAAAACAAUGAAGAUGGCCUAGAGCCUUUACAUAAGGUAAAAGAAAAGGAUGGUGGGAAGAGUGGUAUAUGAAGAAGAUGAGGUUUUGUUUCUUUUUCCCCGUGUGUUGUUGAUGAUGUUGUGUGUUGUUCUUCUCCCCGUUUCUCUCCUCCCUUUGCUUUUAUGGAUGAAGAAAUGGAAUCCUCCAUUAAGCCUUAAUGACAUGUUUCACUUUGUUUUGCAAUACUUGGACAUCUUGUAAUUGGAAGCAAUCAUUCCCAUGCAUGUGGACAAAUACUCAAAAACCACGUUCAAAGUCUAAGGAUUAUGAAUCCCACAUCUCCAAUUUUGGAGGGGAUGAAUCAUCACCAAAGAUUUAACUCUUACAUUCCUAAUUAUUACAAACUUGCCAACUCACUCUCAUGUAAACUUCCACCUCUUCACCCUAAUCAUUAACUUCUAUUAAUUAUCACCUCCACCUCAUCCUUGGGAGAAAAAUGAAUCAAGCAAAAACUACUCAAAUAAUCCCACCUUAAGCUCGGCUAUAGCAAUGAUAAUUGCCAUUAGCAAGUAAAAACAACUUUUAAGGCCUACCAAAAACAAUCUAAUACAUGUAUAAGUUACCUACAAAAUUACAAAACUACAAUGAGGAUGGCAAACACUAGAAACCUCUCUAGUUAGAGAAAUUUGAGUUUAAAAGUACAAGCUAGGCUUAGAUAUAUUCUUGUAGUGAAGGAAUCCCUACUAACUUACAUGUCGAAAAUACAAGUUCUUGUACCUAUAAUAUAUAAAAUGAAAUUAAAAAAAAUCAUUACAUUUGAAAUAGAUAUAAGUACUUGCACACACAUUUAUAUAACCAUUUAUUUAUUUUUAAAUACGGGGUAUUACAAGACCCAUAAGUGAACACACAUUGGAACAUUGGAGUUGUUUGAGUCACAACAACUGCAUGAUUUCAUUAAAAAUGAUCUGACAGCUCUGCGUGUGAUUUUCAAUUUUUUCAAAAUCCUAAUAUGUCACAGCCCGUUCCGAGAUUAUAUAAAUAUUGGGGACUUGAAAUGACAGAAUUACCCUUAGAGGGUAUUAAGGUAUGUAUGUGUGUAUGUUGGACAUAUUUCCUUCAUUCCUAAACUUUUGGAAACAAAUUAUUAAGUGGGAUUUAAAAUGUUGGAUUGUUUGUGUGGUUAGGGAACUAGGAAGAGAAAUGAAUGGUCAUGAUUUGUGAGGGAACACGCACACAUUUCCUUCUCUCUCACUCACCCUGUGUCUCUCUCUCUCUCUCUCUCUCCUCCUUUACGGAUCUCUCUCACUCUCUUUCUCUCGAAUUGUACGGCCACACCCAAGGACUCUCUAAACAUCACGGAUUGAAGCUAACAAGGUAUGGUUCUUCAUCAUUUUGACGUUCUGAGUUGAAUGGUACUAGUUUUAGGAAGUGAAACCCUCAAAAUCAUCGUGAAACCCUAACCCCAAAAUUGUGCACUGUUCAUGCACACGUAAAAUCUUGCAUUUCAGGAAAUUCUAAUCUUAUAGUAAGCUUAGUGAGGUCCCAAGGAAUUUCGGAGUGCUUCGUUUGAAGGUUUUGGACGUCAGGAUCGUCGGGUUCGAAGUUGGCCGAAUUGGAGGAUUUUCCCGACGAAAUUUCAGAGGUUUUUAAAGGUAUAGAUCCCUUCCCCUCUUAAUUUAGAGCUCGUAGGUGAAAAUUUCAUGAAAAAUGGUGAAGAAACGAGUGAGAAAGGUCGAGUUGCAGGUUUCCGGCGCCGGCGACACUGUGCUGGCGACGCGAGGAAGAAGAAGCGCGCGUGGGGGCGCGUAGGUCCGUGCCACCCACGGCGCGUGGGGCUGCGUGGAAAACCCAAAAAUUUUUCUAAAAAUUUGUCGACGUCUAUGACGUCGAGUAGGUCGAUGUGGUAUAUUCACAUACCCAAAUUGAGCACCGUAUGAGAAGUUAUUUCGAAUUGUUGAUUAUGUGUUUUAAUUAACGUUUCUAUAGUUGUUUUGCAUAUAGGUGACACCUAUCCCGAGGACGAGCGCAUCCAAGGACGUCACGGGGGUUACGACCAAUCGACUUACCAGUGAGUGGGCAGUUUUUGUUUUCGUAUUACCUAUAUACUAUUGAUUUUUUUCCCAUAAAAUGAAUUUAUAUGAAAAUACGUUUUAAAAUGCCAUGCAUGCAUAUUAUGAGAUAUUUGAAUUGAUAAUUGAUGCAUAUAUAUAUAUAUAUAUGAAUUGAUGUUGUGGACGCACAGGUGAGUGUUACAUUAUUCAUACGAUUUAUUUUAUGUGAAUUGCAUUGAAAGCUCAUAACUUGCACCCUUGGUGUUAGUGCUUAUAUUAUUCACUGCACCGCACGCUCGCCUUGGAUCCAAGUAGGUGAAUGUCAUACAUACCAUGUGAGGGUUCCGACAUGCUAGUCGUAUAGAUCGCUAGAGGUGAUUCCGACUAGUGGGUAACCUUAGUUUAUGCGUGCCGAUGAUUGAUGAGAGAAGCACUAGAGCAUAUUCUUACACCUUUCCAUCGUACAGACUACCUUACGUAGUUCCGAGUGACGUGCAGAGUAGGGCCGUAUAGGUCACUGUGGUGACUCCGGCUAGGGGGAAUACUGAGCUAUAGAAUUAGCCGUACAAGACCAUUGUAGGGUCUCCGGUUAUUUCAUUAUAUCACCUGUCAUAUUGAUGCAUCCAUAUUUUUAAUCAUUGACAUUAUUGCUUGGCAUAAUUACUGGAUUUUGAUAAACUUGAUGCUUUGAGCAAUUUGAGUAAAUAUUAUGCUACUAUGUUAUUUUUUGGGAAAGUAUACAGGUUUUACAGAGAGGGGUUAGAAAUGUUUUAAAUGAAAUGUUUUGGAAAAUCUUUGGUUUUACUGACCCACUCAACUUUGUUUUGCGCCCCUCCAGGUUCUAGUUAGCAGUUGGUGGCUCACGAGGUCCUUUUCGGCGUUCUGAUAGACGUCCUGCAUGUAGGACUCACCUGCGGGUGUUGUACUUUUAAUUAUAGUCCUACUUGACUGCACCUAGUAUCUACGCUCUGAAAUUGUGUGUUUUACUUUGUAACCUCACUCUAGUAUGCUAGUUGGUUAUUACUGCUAGUGGUUGGUUUAAAUUCCUUCAUAUUUCUCAUAUCUUUUGUUUCCGUGUCGCACUUUUGGCUACGUCACGCUCACGUGACGGCCAGCACGUCUUGAUUCUAGGAUUGGGGUGUGUCAUAAUAAAUCUAUGGAAGAAAUCUAUACAAAUCCACAAAAAUCAUAAUGAAAAUCCAUAUAAAUCUUCUAAAAUCCAUAGAGAAUUAUAAAGUCUAUUAAAAUCCUUUGAAAUCUAUCACUAAAAAAAAUUCAUUAAAAUUCUCUGAAAUCCAAAUUGACUACACCCCUAAAUGAUGUGUCACAAAUAUAAAUGAGUACGUUUAUCAACGCUUAAAUAAUAAACUAAUUAACAACUUCUAUGUUUUUGUUUUCAAAAUUUUAUUUGAUAAAUUUAAUUUCUAUAGCGUUACUCUUUAACAAAACAAUAUGUGAUUGCCCGGCCCAUGACUAGAUUUCGAAGUCAAUGUCAACGUUCGUCAGCAAUUACAUCACUCCAAAAUUUCUGAAAAAUCGAAGUAUGAGUUUUCUUGCUCCACGAGGACAGAAAGGGAUCCUUCCAUCUGAGCCAACCAGGCAUAAAAUCUAAAUCUUUAAAAUUUAAUCUUACGAUUAAAAUUAUUAUAAUUUUUAAUAUUUUUUUUUAUUUUUAAUCGUUAUAUCAAAUUUUAAGUGUUUAUAUUUUUUGCUUAGUUAGAAGGAAUCUGAAGAUUAUCCUUUCCCACCCUACAUUAUCCAACUCUCUAUAAAAUAUAGAAAAUAAUAAUUUAUUAAGCAAAGGCAUUUGCCCAUCGUCUGAUUGCUGACGAUUCACUAUGGAAACCUGGUUCCUUAUCCUCACCGCCCUCUGCGUCUCCUUCCUCCUCAAAGCCCUUCUUUCUCUAUUCCUACCCACUUCCAUCUCCAAACCCAAGCCCCCUCCUGGGCCCCGCUACAUCCCCAUCAUCAGCACCUUGUUAUUCCUCCUCAAAUCCUUCUCGGAGCUCGAGCCUAUCAUCCGCAAACUACAGGCCAAACACGGGCCCAUCAUCUCCCUCCGCUUCGGCUCCCGCUCCGCCGUCUUCAUCGGCGACCGCUCCCUCGCCCACCAAGCCUUAAUCCAGAACGGUGCCGUGUUCGCCGACCGCCCCCGGGCCUUGGCCACCAACGAGUACGUCAGCAGCAACCAGCACAACAUCAGCUCCGCCCGAUACGGCCCCACUUGGCGCCUCCUCCGCCGCAACCUCACUUCCGAAAUCCUCCACCCUUCCCGCGUCAAAUCAUACGGCAACGCCCGCAAAUGGGUUCUCGACAUCCUAGUCAACCGCCUCAAAACCGAGUCUCAAUCCCAGUCCGAAUGCGGCGGCGGCGGUGGUGUCAGGGUGGUCGACCACUUCCAAUACGCCAUGUUCUGCCUCCUGGUUCUGAUGUGCUUCGGUGACAAAUUGAACGAAGAGCAAAUCAAAGAAAUCGAGCGCGUUCAGCGCCAACAACUUUUGAGUUUCGGGCGGUUCAACAUCCUCAAUUUCAAGCCGAAAUUGACCAAGAUUCUCUUAAAAAAUCGGUGGCGGCAAUUCUUCAAAAUCCUCGAGGAACAACGAGAAGUGCUCGUCCCUCUGAUUCGAGCACGACAAAACAGGGCAAAACAGGGCAGCAAAAACGAUGACAAAGACGAUGAAUUUGUGUUGUCGUACACUGAUACGCUGCUGGACCUCGAGCUUCCCGACGGCAACGAAAAGCGGAAGCUUUCGGAGGGAGAAAUGGUCAGCCUCUGCUCAGAGUUUCUGAACGCCGGCACCGACACGACUUCCACCGCACUGCAGUGGAUCAUGGCCAACGUAGUCAAGUACCCACAAGUUCAGGAGAAGCUGUUUGCGGAGAUUAAAGGGGUUAUGGGGGAAACGGAGGAGGAGGUGCGGGAGGAGGUCCUGCAUAAGCUGCUGUAUCUGAAAGCCGUGAUCUUGGAGGGGCUGAGGCGCCACCCGCCGGGGCACUUUGUGCUGCCGCACGCGGUGACCCAUGACGUGGUUUUGGGCGGACACCUGGUGCCCAAGACGGGGAGUGUUAAUUUCAUGGUGGCGGAUAUAGGGUGGGACCCGCAAGUGUGGGAGGACCCCAUGGCGUUCAAGCCGGAGAGGUUCUUGGGCAGCGGCGGAGAAGAAGAAGGGUUCGAUUUGAUGGGGAGUAGGGAGAUUAAGAUGAUGCCGUUUGGGGCAGGGAGGAGGUCCUGUCCUGGGUCUGGAUUGGCGGUGCUUCACCUGGAGUACUUUGUGGCGAAUUUGGUGUGGAAAUUCGAGUGGAGAGCUAUGGACGGAGAUGACGUGGACCUGUCUGAGAAGCAGGAGUUUACUAUGGUGAUGAAGAAUCCAUUGCAAGCCAACUUAAUCCCAAGAAGUUGAUGUGUGCGAGAAUUCUGUUUUAAUUCUUCGACGCAUGUUUAGCUGUUAAACUCG